GACGAACGCUGGCGGCGUGCUUAACACAUGCAAGUCGAACGGAAAGGCCCUUCGGGGUACUCGAGUGGCGAACGGGUGAGUAACACGUGGGUGAUCUGCCCUGCACUUUGGGAUAAGCCUGGGAAACUGGGUCUAAUACCGAAUAUGAUCAUCGGCUUCAUGGUCGGUGGUGGAAAGCUUUUGCGGUGUGGGAUGGGCCCGCGGCCUAUCAGCUUGUUGGUGGGGUAAUGGCCUACCAAGGCGACGACGGGUAGCCGGCCUGGGAGGGUGACCGGCCACACUGGGACUGAGGUACGGCCCAGACGCCAACGGGAGGCAGCAGUGGAGAAUAUUACACAAUGGGCGCAAGCCUGAUGCAGCGACGCCGCGUGAGGGAUAACGGCCUUCGGGUUGAAAACCUCUUUCAGCACAAACGAAGCGCAAGUGACGGUAUGUUCAGGAGAAGGACCGGCCAACUACGUG
rnacentral:rRNA from 1 species